GUACCAAAAAUCGCAGCCGACGUGUAGAUGCAGUAAUCAGAAAAAUAGAUAAAGACUAGAUGAGAAUCUCAUAGUCCACUAGUCAGAAUGCAAGAUAAACAACACUUACGAAGAAGAUUUAUGUUGUAGGAAACUAAAACAUGGAACUCAAAAUAAACAUGGCAUUGGUUGCAUGGUUUUCUUGUGUAUGAUUCUUGAGCAGCAUCAAACACAUGUUCAUUGGAUGGCCAACCUUUUCUGUUUAUUUUUAUUUCAUGACUCAUGUGACCUCUGAUUGGAUUCGGAAAUCUAUCUUAAAAAUGUAGGUAGUGGUCAAAGAAAACCUGGAUUACUGGCACGCUAUAUGAGGGAUUUUAAUCAAUCGUGCCUAAAUUUAGGCCUACAAGCACUUCAGCCUUUUGACGCCACUCGUGCUAGGAGUAGACCAUUUAGAGGAUUUUUUAUUUUUAAAAUUUAAGACCAUUUUCAAUUUCUUGUAAUAAAUAUUAUAUAUAUAUUAUUGUGAAGUAAUAUAAAUUUUGUUUAAUAUUCAGUUUAAA